AAUCAACGCUGGCGGCGUGCCUAACACAUGCAAGUCGAGCGCGAAAGGGGGAGCAAUCCCCAAGUAGAGCGGCGAACGGGUGAGUAACGCGUGGGUAAUCUACCUCCGAGUGGGGAACAACAGCGGGAAACUGCUGCUAAUACCGCAUGACAUCGUCGAGCCUUCGGGCCUGACGAUCAAAGCCGGGGACCGGCAAGGCCUGGCGCUUGGAGAGGAGCCCGCGUCCGAUUAGCUAGUUGGCGGGGUAAUGGCCCACCAAGGCUCCGAUCGGUAGCCGGCCUGAGAGGGCGGACGGCCACACUGGGACUGAGACACGGCCCAGACUCCUACGGGAGGCAGCAGUGGGGAAUUUUUCGCAAUGGGGGAAACCCUGACGAAGCAACGCCGCGUGGAGGAUGAAGG
rnacentral:rRNA from 1 species